CAGAUUGAACGCUGGCGGCAUGCCUAACACAUGCAAGUCGAACGGGAGUAGCAAUACUCUAGUGGCGGACGGGUGAGGAAUACGUAGGAAUUUGCCCUUAAGUGGGGGAUAACCCGGGGAAACCCGGAUUAAUACCGCAUGACCUCGAAAGAGCAAAGUGGGGGAUCGCAAGACCUCACGCUUUUGGAGAAGCCUACGUCGGAUUAGCUAGUUGGUGAGGUAAUGGCUCACCAAGGCGACGAUCCGUAACUGGUCUGAGAGGAUGAUCAGUCACACCGGAACUGAGACACGGUCCGGACUCCUACGGGAGCAGCAGUGGGGAAUAUUGGACAAUGGGCGCAAGCCUGAU
rnacentral:rRNA from 1 species